GGCAGUGAAGGUGAGGGUAUUUCACUGGAGAUCCCUGCAUGUCUGAGACCUUCUGAAGGCAAAACCCAGGAACAGCCUCAAAAUUAUUUCCUGCCAGAAGCAGAGGGUUAAAGAGGGAAGCGAGAAGGAGGAGACGGCGCAGGGGCCCAGAUGGAGAUAAGUGAUGCUCAGACGUAGCUUGGUGGCCUGAACGUCAUCCUUUAUCUUUUGUGAGCACAUAUGGACAAAGACACACGAGUACUGUAUUGCAAAGGGCCAGCCUUCAUUCCUAGGGUGCUGAGCUAGCACUGUGCUGCCAGGACAGGAUGCUACACAUCUUCUGGGUCUUUCUGACAUGAGAGUGAAACAAGCAGCAGAUCAGCAUCCAGGAGGCAAAGCUUCGCAGUCACGCACCAUGGGCGUGCUCCCAGCUCUUGUCUUGCCAUCCCCACUUGCACCACUCCUCCUUUUCUGAAAAUCCCAGCUCCUGGACUCACUGAGCUACGUAAGGCAUUCACUUUCCUCUUUUCCUAAGAAAAAGCCUACAGAGAAAAUCUUGACAUGCUCAGCACCACCCAUGUGCCGGAGGGUAACACAUGGUUACGGUGAGGAUUAAGAGGACUUCACUGCAAAUAGUUGGGCUGUUUGACUCAUGCUCAGGGCUUUGUUUGUUUUGCUCAUCCCUGGAUGGAAAGGCUUCUAACUGGAUUUCCUUAGCAAUUUGUGGCUGCUUUCACUGUCUCUGGUCGAUGUAAAGCAAUGCAAAGAGGCUGGUGGCUAUCAAAGCUGCAGAGUCUCCAGCCUGGAUUCCUCUGGUGCUGCUCUGCCUCAGCCAGGAAAUGAGAGCUGGAAGUCACAUAACCAGUGUUGGCAACCCACAGAGUCAAUGGAAAUCAUAGAACCAUCGAAUCAUUGCCACUGGAAAAGACCACUGAGAUCACCACCAAGUUCAAAC
ensembl:lncRNA